UGAGAUAAGUUUGAGUAUCUUUAAGGGA
rnacentral:piRNA from 1 species